GAAGCAGCUCUUUAUACCCUGUUACCACCAAUUUCUUAACCUACUAGGAUCUAUCUCUAAUUUUAAACGAUAACAAAUAUUUACAAACACAACUCAUAUCGGAGUUGGUUACUUUCUCCCCACGAACCAAUCUCCUUUUUUCAGCUAAUCUUUAUCUUGGCCCACCUCAGGCCCAUACCGGCCAAACCAUCCCAACUCCCAAUCGGCCAGCCUCUAUCAACUCCCUUUGCCAGUCGGUCGAAACACUAUAGCCUUAAUCGGUCGAUUCCCAAUUGUAGCUUCUAGCUGCUGCACUAGCUGCCUUUCUUCUCCUUUGACGCCGAUUCCAAACACAUGUCAAAAUCCAGCGUAAACACAUGCCCCCCAAUUUUGGAGUGAAACACAACUUUUGCUCCUAAACUUUUCAACUUUAACUCCUUACCCGAAGAAAACGCAACAGUAAGCGCGGCGAAAGCUCCUUUUCGCUCCGCAGUCCCCCUAUGAUGAUUGUGAUUUUUUUAAUGAAGUCCUUGCAAGUAACCACCUAUGUCAGAACCGCCCAAAUGAAUCUGACUAAAAUGCACUUAAGUCGCCUGACACGCGAUCAUGCACUUUAACCAAGCCAACUUGGUCGUCUGUCAGAUUUCAUCCGACAAACCACUUACUCAGGAUCGAGAAGCACUGCUCACACGAAGGUGAGUGGGUACAGAGAUUUCAACAUUCCCAUCACAUUAACAUAGUUCAAUAUUUUAUUACAUCAGAGUUUUUGAAAUUCAAAAAAAAUUUGCAAGGUUUCAAACAACGAAGAAGUAACACUAGCGGAAGAUAAACGUCGAUACACAAUAUCAUGACGAAGCCGAUCAUGACAUCAAUGACCCCUGUCCUCGCCGAUCGAGGAUGGGUCCCAAACAAGACAACACCAGCAACCACACCUGAAAAAGAAGCCACAAGCAAGGCUGAGUAUACUAAUACUCAACAAGGCUUACCCGUCAGGUGGUAACUACUCCACCAACUCCUAGACAUGCAAGACUUUUUUUUUGGCGGUGGGUUUGUUUUUGCCAAAAGCGACUAAAGUUGGUCCUUACUUUCAAUAUUUUAGCUCAAGUUCUAAGUUCAUUAACCAGUCUAGAUUAGCAACUUAUACUAAGCAAACAUAGAUUCCAAACAAUUAAAGAACAAGCAUCAAGAUUAAUAGGAGUAUGUCGUUACACUACCAUUGCAGCAAGGGCACGAAAUCAGGACAUAGAUCAAACAGAGAACUCGCAUAUCUCCAUAUGCACACAUCCCGAAUCCAAAACUAAGCAGCUAAGGCUCUUGAUACCACUGUUGGGAUACGAGGUAGGCUACGCUAGCGCAAAUCAAAAUUUUCUACCGCGUAUAACCAGGAAGAACUGCCGUAUAAGGAUCACGGGAUUACCACUCGACGCACUACUGGUGCGGAAGAUGUAGAUAUGCGUCGGUGCAGUGAAGACGAUCACGUAGUCGUACGUAGUCGAUCACGUCCAGCAGCUCCUCAGCAGCUCGUCAACGUGCACAGCAAGAUCGCCUUCGGUACCGCGGCUCGUCGUCGGCUCGUCGUGGCUCGUCGGCGGCUCGUCGAUGGCUCGUCCAAGUGCUGCAGGCGCAACACCUCCAAGGUAUCCACACGUGCAGGGAGGAAGCGUCGCAAGCCGGACUGCUAGAUCCGCGAGUUGCAACAGGCGAGGGCGUGGGAGGCGCGGCAAGUGUGUUCAGCCAAAAGGUGUGAACCCUAGGGCGCCCCCACCCCUCUAUUUAUAGGGGUUCCUGACGGGCCUCUGGAUCCGAGGCCCAUUAGUACUCCUAAACCUAAUCCAACUCGGAUCAGAUCCGAAUUGGGCUUCCAGCCCCUUAAGUGUGUGACCCUAUGGGUUCGAAUACGUAUAGACAUGGCCCGAGUACUCCUACUCGGCCCAAUAGUCGGUAGCGGCCUCUAGCAAGACGUGCCAACUCCUAUACGCAUACGAAGAUCAUAUCAGACGAACCAUCACAACAUAAUAUACAUGCUAUUCCCUUUGCCUCACGAUAUUUGGUCUAGCUUCAAGCCGACCGCUCUUUCUCGAUCCUGUGAUUCGGAAUCCCUUUGUAGGUUAACUCUUAACCGUACGUAGCAUGGCCAUGCAUUUUCGGAUCCGAUCACUCGAGGGGCCCAGAGAUAUCACUCUCAAUCAGAGAGGGGCAAAUCCCAUCUUGAUUGACCAUGUCUCAUAGCAUGCUUCUUGACAAACCCGAAAGCUACCUUUAUAACUACCCUGUUACGGCGUAGCGUUUGAUAGCCCCUAAGUAGGUCGAUCCACAUCUAGAAUACAUGCGACAAUCUCAGGUCUAAGGACAAAGCGUAUAUGUUGUUUAAAGAGAGAACUACUUCUCGCGUUGGGUCAGUCCUAACACAUGUCUCCACAUGUGUCCACAUUAUUAGUUCAACAUCUCCAUGUCCAUGACUUGUGAAACAUAGGCAUCAACUAAUACAUGUGCUAGUCUAAUAUUCAUGUGUGUCCUCACAUGAACUCCGACUAGGGACAACUUUAGAAUAACCAUACAAGUAAAGAGUUUCACAUACAAUUCACAUAAUUGCAAAUCAAUUCAAGUAGCCUUUAAUGGAUAUUCAAUGAACACAGUAUACAAAUCAUGGAUACAAAUGGAAUAUCAUCAUCUCUAUGAUUGCCUCUAGGGCAUACCUCCAACACGCUUCACUUGUCAGCCAUCCCUAUCGAUCCCCAGGCACGUGUCAGGGCCAAACUUCCCUUGGCAUGCAAUGCUCCACAGUCCCGACCUCAUGCCGUACUGUGACCGCACUUGCACCCACAUGAUGCACCAUGGGAACCUCAUUCCAGGGACAACAGGAGUAUAAGCCACGCCCCAGUUCAAUCAGGUGCUAGUCUUCCCCAUCCCAUACUAGGUAUGGGAUUAGUACUUUCAAACACUUGAUCACGAACGCCGACACGUUUUGACCUUAGUCCAUUUUCAUUUAGAUAGAUGGGGCAAUCCACGGACCACCAAAAUAGUUCCCAAGGCCCUGCCCCGCCCGUCGUCCUUAUGGUUGUAACAUAAGUAAACAAAAAACUCCUAUAACUUGCGAGUGAUAGGAAAUCACUCGACUUUUACAUGUCCUAUUAAGCAUUGCAUCUACACGACUUAUCAUGCUAGUGUUCAGAUCAAAAGGGUACUAAGUUCAUGCAUCUAAGGUGUCAUUCAACUCCUAUAAACGUAAAUGCACAAUCAUAAGCAUCAACAUAUUGCAUAACUUUAAAAUAGGGAAGCAUGCACCGGGGCUUGCCUGGAAUCCACACUAGGUUAGUGUUUGUUAGAUGACACUCGCUUGGCGAGCAUCUCCCAUCUCGGCACUUGUUUAGUUCUUCCAUCUUCGAGAUAGCUCCACCAUACACCGUCUUCGGGUUCGGUUCCAUCAUCACGUCCUUCACGUGGUUUAUCUAGCGUAUCUAGAUGAGAUGCAAGAUGCAAGAGCAUGAAUACGAAGAACGGUGAAAAGAGAUGCAUUACACAAAAGCAUUUAAGGCAAACAUAAGAUCAUGCAAGACAUAGGCACCUAGAGUCAUUUAACUGUACACCACACAACCUAUUAUAGAAGGAUAGCAAGUACAUUAGGCAUGGCACACAAGUGAACUUAUGUUAAGCUAUUGCAAGCAAUAACAAUCAAGAGCUAAUUAAGCAUAGCAUCACACAAGAACUAGGGUGAUGGUGCUUAUCAACAUGGCAUACAGAAGUGCAUCACAAAACCAACAAGUUGAAGGUGAUCAAAGUAUAUUACAUUUGUUUUAAACCACUCAUGCACAAGCAAGUCACACACCAACAUCACUAAGGUUCUAGCAAGCUAUUUAGCAAGGUUAUUUUGUAGCAACAUGCAUACAUGACCAUUUAUUAGUUAAGUGCUUGACCAACAUUAUAUAACAUAUUUAUAAGAUUCUCAGGUAGAUCAAGUUAACUCUAAUAGUGAUAUGAGCUAACUAGCCAGCACACAAGGCAACAUCAAGUUAAAGCUAAUAACUUAAGCACAUACACCGAAUCUGGACAGCAGCACAACAGUCAUUUGUUUGAGCUAUAACUAGAGAUAUAAGCAUACAACAAAGGUGACCCUAGAAUUUCUGUAAAGUUAAACAAAUUAUCUAAAACUUUGUUAUUAACACCAAAAGCUGAUUCAACAAAUAAGAAGGUGAGAACACACCAUUAGGCAGAUCUAUACAAACAAAGAUAGAAAACUGACAUGCAACUUUAGACAACAAUAAGUUGAGUUCUAGUUUUUACAACAAGGUAGUUCUAGACUUUUUAGAAAGGUUAACAAACCAUGCAAAACUUUGUUAUAAACACCAGAAGCUAAAACAAAAGUUAACCAGGUCAAACAUCACAAAGAAGACAUCUCUAUCCAGAUUAGGACAAAUUCUGUUAUUCCACUUCACAAGCUCAUAACUGGAGAUUUAGACCACCAAAAGGGAUGAUCUUUAACAUUUUGGAAAGCUCAUGAAAAACCUACACUUCUUAUAUUAUCUCCAAGAUAUGAUUCAAAGCUUAGCUAAGUCAAACAACACAAUCAUUCAGACCUAUAUAUAGAGCACGCAAAACAUCAUUUGCAUCACGAAAACAUUGCCACAACAGAACUACUCUAGCAGCCAUUUCAGCACACAUACAACAAGGUUCUUCAUUUAGUUCUUUAACAAGGUAACAUAUGCAUAAGUUAAACACAUAGCUCACAAAUACCAAGAACAUAGUUAAUUAGCAUUAGCUUUAGGUAACAUGGAACACCCUUAACACCUUAAGCAAGAAUUAAAGUAAAGGCGAAGAACUUAUAUAAGUAGUUGUUAUAUUAACAUGAGAGCACACAUAUGAGUUAUAUUCAAAGCUUAACCACUACUUAUCAUAACUUAACAUCAUAUGUACCCCUCAAAAAUAAAUAUUAAAAGCCUCACAUGACCCAAAUACAUGCAUCUACUAGCAAACUUUCAUUGUCCAAUUAUAUAGUAAACAUAUAUAUUAAUUAUAGGUGAUGUGGCAUACAUCUCAUUUGGAGCUGAUAUUUGUAUGGAUGAUAAAUGUUAUCAAAACAUGGCUACUGUACAAAUUUCACAUGCUUAGGUUUUAUAAUUUAAUUGCUACGAAAAAGACAAAUUGCUCUUGCAAGAAAGCAUGUAAAAGCAAGAUAAAUCUAAAGAUCAUUGUUUUCUAUAAACACAUAGCCAUAUAAUAUGUUAUUAUGGUAGAACAACAUCAUACAAAUGUAGUGGAACCACAUUUCCCAUUUUUACACCUACAUAAAAGUUAUAACUUAUUUAAAACCAUUUACGAAGCAAUAAACAAGUUAAAUCAAUAAGUCAAUCAUACUGCAUUCAAUGAAUAUGAAAGUUUUACCACAUCACAAGAGCAUCAUUUAUAGCCUACCUUAAAAAUUGCACAGAAAGUGGAGCACCGCAACUUUAAAUAUGAAAAUGACAAGCAAAACAAGCUAAAAAUUUGCGUAUUUCUCAAGAUUAAAUCAAAACAUGAUAAAAACAGUACCCAACUAGCAUGUUCAAUAUUUUUAUUAGCUAGAGAGUGUCAUCACAAGACUAACACAACUAGAAUCACAACUUUUGGACUUCUAUAACUCAACAUAUGCAUCUAACCAACUUAAAAGGAUUUCUAAAAACACUUUGCAAGGAUAAAUAAAAAUAUCAGAAACUUUCUACUAACACAUAUCAUAUUAUAACUCUAAUGUGUAAAUAUACUCACAAAGAUUCCAAAACAUCCUCAUUUGCUAUUUUAUGAUGUUUAUGCAAUUUAGUAUGAAUUUUUAAAGUUUCAGCCUUUUUAGAUCUAAAAAAUAAACAAAAUCGAGAUGAUCUUACGAUCUACCCCCUGGGUCUACGGUUUAAUUGUGCAAAACUCCUUGGAACUUCCCCAUAACCCCCUACACUUCCUUCUUCUUCUCCAAAGAGGCCCCCCACGCACAAACAACACACAACACAGGCACGCACGCAUUGGACAGGCACGACCGGCCAUGGACUUGGGGCCGAAGGUGGGGGAAAAAGAAGGGGCAGCUUGGGGAGGGAGAGGGGCAGCACACGGAGCCCAGGAGGCUCACCAGAAGGGAGUCAGGCGCUUGGAGGAGGGCGGCGCACAGGGAGGAACGACACAGGAAGGGGGCGGCGGAGGAGCUCCCGUGGAGGGCAACGUCCGGUGAGGGAGGGAGCUCGGGAAGUAGCAAAAUGGAAUCGCGAAGUCGAGGAGGCACCGUGGCUGCAAGGAAUUGGCUGGAGAUGCACCAACCGCGGCAGAUUUCGCCGGUGAAAUUUGGGGAAACUGGAGCUCGGGUUCCUGUUAAUGGUGGAGGAGGAAGGGGAGGGUUGAGGGCUUUAUAUAGGAGGGGAG
rnacentral:lncRNA from 1 species